GAUGACAAAGCUCACUGCUUUGACUUUGAGAGGAGUCUGAUAGUUGAAAUGUCUUAGUGACCUCCAGUGAACCAGCACUCUGAGAAGCAGGUGUUCUCCUGGGCAGUAUGGGGUUAACAGCUCUGUAGGAUCUGAUGGGGCCUGGAUGUUCAGAGCUUCAUAGGUUAAGAGAAGGAUUUAAACUCUAUUCUAGAUUUGACAUGAAGUCAGUGAAGAGAAGCCGACGCUGGAGUGAUGUGGUCUCUAACGGUAGUUCUUGUCAGAACUCUCACUGCUGCUACGUCCAAAAAACAUGUUUUUGAGCUGAAUCUGAGGCUGGAAAUCCACCCUGUGCGUAUGAAGCAUCCCGUCCUGUGUGACCUUUAAGGGUCGGCGAUUCAAUCUUCAGUUAUCAGUGACUUGGAUGGGGAUGAGUGGCCCUGGGUGGGGAUGGUUUUUGGGUUAUUUUUUCCGAUCUGUGGUGAGAAAUGAUGAAAGCUUGUUUUUUUGUUGUUGGCCUCUGAUGGAAUCAGUGUAAACACAGCGUCCAGUAAAGUGCAGGCUGCUGCUCGGUGUGUGUGGAGACUCCCUGGAUACCAGCAGAAGCAGCCCUUUGUCUCCUCAUUUAAGAGGUUCAGCUUUGUGCAGAAGAAGUGGAUGCAGAGCAGUGUGUGUGUGUUUCCUAGCUCCUCAUUAUGCAGCCUGUUCAUACAGCCUCCCUCAGAGCUGAAUGUGUGGGGAAGAAAAGCGACCCCUGGGCAUUUGUUGCCUUUUUUCCCCGGUCGGUCGGUCGGAGCUUCAGGAGCCUCGCAGUCUGUCCUGCAGCUCACAUCAUGUUUGUGACCAUUCUGUUCGGAGGUUGGUUCGGUUUCUUUAAUCCUGCAAACGCUGUUUGAAGUUUGACAGCCGGUGUUAAACAGUGUGCCACACGUUGAUGCACUGCCUACUUAACUUUACAGAGUCUUUUUGUUUGUGCAGAUGGGAAAAUGGAAAUGUUCAACCUCAACUGUAAGAUGAUAAACUUCAUCCACCACUUGAAGGAGAGGUGCGGCCUGGACUUCAAAGAGUGUGUGGACGUGAUGGACAGCAGCGGCCAGCUGAUGAACCUGGAGGCCAGGCAGCACAGCUGCUCCCCGGCCAGCAGCGUCCUGGCGGAGCGCCAGUACUACGUCCUCCUGCGAGUGUGCCGGGACGCUGCAGCUGACAGUCCCAAAUACAUCUCCCUGCUGAACAACUACAGCCAGAGCCAUCCAGAGCUAACAGAGCUGCUGAGGAAACUCUCAAACCCUGACAAAGAGCCAGGCAGGAAGACAAGAAGAGGACGAACACAGAGGGGCAAAGUCAUGAAAAAUAAGAACUGAAGUGUUGAAGAGAUUCUGUGAUCGCUGAUCUUUCUACACCCGCUUGACCCUCUUCAGGGAAUUCAGUGAAAUUUCUGUCAAGUUUAACCUGAUAGAGAGGGGAAAAAAGUUUCAAGGCCUUAAUGGGUGUAGAUAAGCACGUCUUUGUAUCCAUUUUGUUCAAGGAACACUUCUGAGCUGCAUUAAAGAAAUGUAUACCUUAAUAAUGUAGAUGGGAAAGAUUUACUAAUAGAUUUCAAUAAAAGGCUGUCUGCACAUUUUUAAUCACCUCUGCUCUCUGA
ensembl:lncRNA